GGGUUGUGAGGUUAAGCGACUAAGCGUACACGGUGGAUGCCCUGGCAGUCAGAGGCGAUGAAGGACGUGCUAAUCUGCGAUAAGCGUCGGUAAGGUGAUAUGAACCGUUAUAACCGGCGAUUUCCGAAUGGGGAAACCCAGUGUGAUUCGUCACACUAUCAUUAACUGAAUCCAUAGGUUAAUGAGGCGAACCGGGGGAACUGAAACAUCUAAGUACCCCGAGGAAAAGAAAUCAACCGAGAUUCCCCCAGUAGCGGCGAGCGAACGGGGAGCAGCCCAGAGCCUGAAUCAGUGUGUGUGUUAGUGGAAGCGUCUGGAAAGGCGCGCGAUACAGGGUGACAGCCCCGUACACAAAAAUGCACAUACUGUGAGCUCGAUGAGUAGGGCGGGACACGUGGUAUCCUGUCUGAAUAUGGGGGGACCAUCCUCCAAGGCUAAAUACUCCUGACUGACCGAUAGUGAACCAGUACCGUGAGGGAAAGGCGAAAAGAACCCCGGCGAGGGGAGUGAAAAAGAACCUGAAACCGUGUACGUACAAGCAGUGGGAGCCUCUUUUAUGGGGUGACUGCGUACCUUUUGUAUAAUGGGUCAGCGACUUAUAUUCUGUAGCAAGGUUAACCGAAUAGGGGAGCCGAAGGGAAACCGAGUCUUAACUGGGCGUUAAGUUGCAGGGUAUAGACCCGAAACCCGGUGAUCUAGCCAUGGGCAGGUUGAAGGUUGGGUAACACUAACUGGAGGACCGAACCGACUAAUGUUGAAAAAUUAGCGGAUGACUUGUGGCUGGGGGUGAAAGGCCAAUCAAACCGGGAGAUAGCUGGUUCUCCCCGAAAGCUAUUUAGGUAGCGCCUCGUGAAUUCAUCUCCGGGGGUAGAGCACUGUUUCGGCAAGGGGGUCAUCCCGACUUACCAACCCGAUGCAAACUGCGAAUACCGGAGAAUGUUAUCACGGGAGACACACGGCGGGUGCUAACGUCCGUCGUGAAGAGGGAAACAACCCAGACCGCCAGCUAAGGUCCCAAAGUCAUGGUUAAGUGGGAAACGAUGUGGGAAGGCCCAGACAGCCAGGAUGUUGGCUUAGAAGCAGCCAUCAUUUAAAGAAAGCGUAAUAGCUCACUGGUCGAGUCGGCCUGCGCGGAAGAUGUAACGGGGCUAAACCAUGCACCGAAGCUGCGGCAGCGACACUAUGUGUUGUUGGGUAGGGGAGCGUUCUGUAAGCCUGUGAAGGUGUACUGUGAGGUAUGCUGGAGGUAUCAGAAGUGCGAAUGCUGACAUAAGUAACGAUAAAGCGGGUGAAAAGCCCGCUCGCCGGAAGACCAAGGGUUCCUGUCCAACGUUAAUCGGGGCAGGGUGAGUCGACCCCUAAGGCGAGGCCGAAAGGCGUAGUCGAUGGGAAACAGGUUAAUAUUCCUGUACUUGGUGUUACUGCGAAGGGGGGACGGAGAAGGCUAUGUUGGCCGGGCGACGGUUGUCCCGGUUUAAGCGUGUAGGCUGGUUUUCCAGGCAAAUCCGGAAAAUCAAGGCUGAGGCGUGAUGACGAGGCACUACGGUGCUGAAGCAACAAAUGCCCUGCUUCCAGGAAAAGCCUCUAAGCAUCAGGUAACAUCAAAUCGUACCCCAAACCGACACAGGUGGUCAGGUAGAGAAUACCAAGGCGCUUGAGAGAACUCGGGUGAAGGAACUAGGCAAAAUGGUGCCGUAACUUCGGGAGAAGGCACGCUGAUAUGUAGGUGAAGCGACUUGCUCGUGGAGCUGAAAUCAGUCGAAGAUACCAGCUGGCUGCAACUGUUUAUUAAAAACACAGCACUGUGCAAACACGAAAGUGGACGUAUACGGUGUGACGCCUGCCCGGUGCCGGAAGGUUAAUUGAUGGGGUCAGCGCAAGCGAAGCUCUUGAUCGAAGCCCCGGUAAACGGCGGCCGUAACUAUAACGGUCCUAAGGUAGCGAAAUUCCUUGUCGGGUAAGUUCCGACCUGCACGAAUGGCGUAAUGAUGGCCAGGCUGUCUCCACCCGAGACUCAGUGAAAUUGAACUCGCUGUGAAGAUGCAGUGUACCCGCGGCAAGACGGAAAGACCCCGUGAACCUUUACUAUAGCUUGACACUGAACAUUGAGCCUUGAUGUGUAGGAUAGGUGGGAGGCUUAGAAGUGUGGACGCCAGUCUGCAUGGAGCCGACCUUGAAAUACCACCCUUUAAUGUUUGAUGUUCUAACGUGGACCCGUGAUCCGGGUUGCGGACAGUGUCUGGUGGGUAGUUUGACUGGGGCGGUCUCCUCCUAAAGAGUAACGGAGGAGCACGAAGGUUGGCUAAUCCUGGUCGGACAUCAGGAGGUUAGUGCAAUGGCAUAAGCCAGCUUGACUGCGAGCGUGACGGCGCGAGCAGGUGCGAAAGCAGGUCAUAGUGAUCCGGUGGUUCUGAAUGGAAGGGCCAUCGCUCAACGGAUAAAAGGUACUCCGGGGAUAACAGGCUGAUACCGCCCAAGAGUUCAUAUCGACGGCGGUGUUUGGCACCUCGAUGUCGGCUCAUCACAUCCUGGGGCUGAAGUAGGUCCCAAGGGUAUGGCUGUUCGCCAUUUAAAGUGGUACGCGAGCUGGGUUUAGAACGUCGUGAGACAGUUCGGUCCCUAUCUGCCGUGGGCGCUGGAGAACUGAGGGGGGCUGCUCCUAGUACGAGAGGACCGGAGUGGACGCAUCACUGGUGUUCGGGUUGUCAUGCCAAUGGCACUGCCCGGUAGCUAAAUGCGGAAGAGAUAAGUGCUGAAAGCAUCUAAGCACGAAACUUGCCCCGAGAUGAGUUCUCCCUGACCCUUUAAGGGUCCUGAAGGAACGUUGAAGACGACGACGUUGAUAGGCCGGGUGUGUAAGCGCAGCGAUGCGUUGAGCUAACCGGUACUAAUGAACCGUGAGGCUUAACCUUACAACGCCGAAGCUGUU
rnacentral:rRNA from 1 species